rnacentral:lncRNA from 1 species
CGUUGAUGUCUUAGAAAGGCACUAAGUAGAACACUUUAAGAAAGGGACAAUGAAGGAACACAAGAACUUACAAAGAAGGCUUUGUAUUGAAUAAGGAUACUCUUUACAACUUCACUCUCUUAAUGACUUCAAAUGAAUCCUAACAAGCUAUUUAUAGUAGUAGCCUCCUCAAAUGGAUGGCUAGGAUCUUUUCUAUCCAAUGGUCUAGAUUACACAUCUAGAAUUAUCUAUACAAAUAUUUACAUUAAAAUAUUUAUGGACUAAACUAGGAUGAUCUAGAAUAAUCCACCAAGUGAGGAGCUUGUAGGCUUCUAGAAUGUCCCACCAUAUUCUAGCAAUCUUCAUGCACUUGUGGGAGUCUAGAAUAUUCCGGUUAGCCUCAAGUCGUCAACAUUUUAAAUUUCUCGAUCUUCUUGUGCCAAAAUCGAGCGAGUCGUGACAUUAUGCUUGCUUACAGUACUGUAUAUGUAACCAUAUAAAAACAGAUGUGCAUACUAAGUUAGAAACCAGUAUCAUCAGUUUAACAAAAUUCGUUGCACAUAUCAAGAAAAACUACUGACCUCUGCAGAUUAUUUGGCAGGUAGAUAAUAAAAACAAGUUGUUCUAUUAACCAUGUGUGCGUUUGGUAAGCUUUAAAAUACGUAACCUUACUUGUAAGUAAAUUUUUAUUUCCAAACAUAUCUGGAUAUAUUGCCUUUUUCCAAGUUUUAAAAAAAAAAAUUAGGAAAGGACAAAAAUAAUUUACCAAUUUCCAACUUUGACGCAAAAAAUUAUUCAUUCUAUGAAUUUCUAAUAAGGUAGAUAAUAAGAACAAGUUGUUCUAUUAACCAUGUGUGCGUUUGGUAAGCUUUAAAAUACGUAACCUUACUUGUAAGUAAAUUUUUAUUUCCAAACAUAUCUGGAUAUAUUGCCUUUUUCCAAGUUUUAAAAAAAAAAUUAGGAAAGGACAAAAAUAAUUUACCAAUUUCCAACUUUGACGCAAAAAAUUAUUCAUUCUAUGAAUUUCUAAUUACUCACAAGUGAACUUAUAAAAGUAAAUAUUUCAAGCUUGGUCAAAACAUGCACCGAGUCUAUUUAGUUGUGGAACUCAAACCUUUAGGGACAUCCCACCAAUGGGGAAGAUAUUAGAAAGAUAGGAGUGGUGAAUUCAUAGAAGACAUUUUAGAGAAUUGAGUUUAUCAGUUUGAGUCUCGUCACAUUAAACUGAUUUCAGUAUUCCAGAAAAGAAUAACCAGAAUUUGCUAUUAAAAUCAUCCGUCUGUAAUUAUAAGCAAAGAUCUUGGGUUCUGGUUUGACAUCUGAAAAUAAAGACAUUGUAAGACAAAUUUGGUUUCCUCAGAUGGUGGACCAUCAAGCAAUUAUCAUUAGACCCACGAUACAGAGCAUCUAAGAUAUCUGAAUUUUGUUUGCAAAUGAGUAUAGGCCUUGUAAUUCAGAGUUUCAAAAACAUAUCAUUACAUUCGUAAUGUUAUUCAUUUUAGAGAGAGAGAAAAGUAACACAAACACAAAUUCAAAAUUACAAGAUUUUUUACCGUAGGUGAUCCUAUUCUAAAUUUCCCUACCAAAUCAGUGUGUUUUGAGUCUUUUCUUUGAGUUGAAGAGACACAAUCCUUUUAAAGACAAAGAAAUC